GCAGAACAAGGCAGAGAAAACAAUCGAAUGCAGCGCGCGUCACAAACAAACCAACACAAACGCACGCCUGCACACAUUAGUCAAAAUCGCGUUUAUAUGAAGACGGACGUGGCGAGGUGAGGGUUUCGUGGCUCUUUGUGUGCCGGUGUACGAAUAAGUGCCGGUUUGUGACAGCUACUGUGACGGGUACGCUGGAAUACGAAAUUUGUGAAUUGCAAAUUAAAUAGCGCAAUCGAAGGCAAAGUACAUAAAUAAAUAAAUAAUUGAGUGAUGUGUAAAGAAGGCCAAAGUUAUCAAAGUGAAGCAGAUUAAUUGUGGACAGGGAACGCGUUGAUAGUGGUGAAAUGGGCUAUUCAACGCCUAAUGACCGCACUUUAAGUGGCAGAGUGGAGUAAUAAUUAAAUAUUUUGCCAAAAAACCUACAACUUGGAAGCAAGGAUAAUAAUUAGAUAAGAUUGCUACGCAAAACGACAAAAAAAUGAGCUAAACCCGAUAUAUAUUAAUACAAUCAUAAUCUGCUUGCACCAUGUUUGCGUGUAUGUGCAACGCGCACAGUUAUGACGUUCCGCUACGCUUCCAGCAAAAAAUGUCUUAACAGCGAUUUAGUGGCACAACCCAUCGCAGAUCGGCAUAACCGAAACAGAAGGUCGUGCUGUUUUUAGCCGCCGCAAAAGCACGCACCUCAACCACUAGGUGGUUUUACGUACCCGUUGCAUGACUGUCUGCUGUGCCGUCUUCAAACGGUAUGUGGAUUUAGCGUCACUUACGUAAGGACUUGCGAUAAAAAGUAGAAAAGCAGGUGCAGUGUGUCCCGCGUGGUCAUGUUGAGGCAGCCACAUUGCGACUGCUCAAAUUUCGUGGCGCGUCGUAAAUUCAAUUUGACAGUUUUUUCGGUGCGCGGCUCGAAGUGAAAUGCAAUAUAUCUGCAUGAUUGUAACGGUAAACAUUCACAGAGGCAAUUAAAGUGACGUUCAUAUUGGUGUUUGUGAGUUGCUACCAUUGUGAUGGACUAUACGCACCGCUGCUCCUGAGUGCCCACGCUCAAAUAAAUAAAUGUCAGUGUUCUUAAAAGUAUAAUAACUGUACUCAAAAUAAAUGUAUUAACUCACUUUAAUUAACUCUAAAUAAAUCGAAAAUAAAAGCAAACUAUAACAGAUAAAUCUUUGAAUUGAAAUCUCCGAGCAAAUUUCUUAAAACUACUCUACCACAUGCAAAGGCGUGCAAUCCAAAGCAAACGACUUAACUGUGGAAAUUGCAUUUGCCAUCAAUUCGCUUAAAGUUAUUACGCGUUUAAUCGAGUUUAGACGUAUAUCAGUGUAAUAAUCGAUUCAAUCUGUGUCGAGAACAAUUUAUCGUCGUAUGCUCCACUUUUACACGACUGUGACCGAUGCGUGUGAAGCACAGUUAAAGCAAAAACAGUGACUGAAACCAUACAUACAAAUAGUCGAAAAGGAAUAUUGGCAGAGUGUGCAAAAACAUAUAUAUCUGUAUGUGUGUUUGAUACUAGCGUUGCAAGCAAGCAGCGUAUGUGUUGAGCUCAUCACAUAAAAGGCUAUGAAAGCUUAAGUCUAACGAUAAGCUGCUAUCGUCUCACUAACUGAAAUUGGUUUAUUAAUAACACCACUACACCACUACAAGCGCGUUAGCUGAAAGCGACAUUAUCUGCAAGCAAUAUCAGUAAACUGAACUCACGGGAUUAUAACGCUUUACUAAAGUAAAUAACAGCAACAACAAUCAGUUUGUUGUAAAAUUACGAAAAUAAAAAAUAGAAAAACUAAUCAAGAAUAGUGCAGCAGUGAAUGGCGGAAACCAUUGCAGGAUUGUGGUUGAAUUUGACUUGCAAAAAGUUGCUACAAUGGCUGAGUUGAAGAUAUCUACCUGUUGGGUCCAGUGAUAAAUAGGUCAAUACGUGGCUGUGUAUUCAGAAAUAAAUGAAGAGUUAGCAAAUAUUUUAAAAAUAGAAUUAAAAAACAUAACUACUAAUUUUUUUAAUCCUAUAUCCCAUAAUUUAUUACGAAAAUUCUUAAUAUUGUAAAUAAUUUUUGUUUUAAUUAGCAAAUGAGUUUUCUGAGCACUUUAUAAUUUAAGCUAAAUAAUGUGCCAUAAGAGUAUGAAAAAAGUGUCACAACCUGCUUAAUACAUGGAUUUACAAUAAGAGUGAUAUAACUAAAAAAAAAACACCAAUUGUGAAGCAAAUUCAAAAGUUUUUAAUAGAUGUAAAGUACAAACGAAACAAAUUACAAAUAAAAGUUGGCUAAUGUUCACAAAAAAAAGCAAUAAUUUACAUAUACAUUUACACAUAAAUAUACAUGAUUAUCUACUUAUAUACUGUAACAAAUUAAUAAUAAUAAAGUAGUAUUUUGAAUAUAAUAUUAA